rnacentral:lncRNA from 1 species
AGACGGCGAGAAACGUGCGAUGAUCCUGGAGGAUUAAUCAAGAAGACUCUUCAAAGUCUGAGGACUGGAAAGUUUGUAUGAAUCUAAGGAGUUCGAUUUCCGUAGAGUACGGAGAAGUCGAGAAUACAAGGUGAUGAAUCAGAAAAGUCCAGACGAGCCUGGGAGCUCUCAAAAGUGGAAAGCUGACACUGGAGUUAGAUGGUGAAUACCAUGAUUUGACGAGUCGACAGUUGUUCUGUGCCGAACUUUCCUUAUUUCCCCAAGCAAAGUCGGGAUUGUUA